GGGGGGACGCAGGAAGGUAAGGCGAGCGCACGGAUGGAAGCGUGCGUUCAAGCCGUGAGGCUUGCAGCGAGGCAAAUCCCGCUGCUUGUGGCCAAGCGGUGAUGAGGAGGGAAAUUAAGUACCGAAGCGCCUGAUCCUACACUGCCAAGAAAAGCCUCUAGCGAGUGAAACGGUGCCCGUACCCAAACCGACACAGGUGGGCAAGAAGAGAAUUCUAAGACGCUCGGGAGAACUCUCGUUAAGGAACUCGGCAAAAUCACCCCGUAACUUCGGGAGAAGGGGUGCUCGAAGGACCUUCGGGUCCGGAGAGCCGCAGUGAAAAGAUCCAAGCGACUGUUUACCAAAAACACAGGUUUCUGCUAAACCGUAAGGUGAUGUAUAGGGGCUGACACCUGCCCGGUGCUGGAAGGUUAAAAGGAGAGGUUAUCCCUUCGGGGAGAAGCUUUGAAUUGAAGCCCCAGUAAACGGCGGCCGUAACUAUAACGGUCCUAAGGUAGCGAAAUUCCUUGUCGGGUAAGUUCCGACCCGCACGAAAGGUGUAACGAUUUGGAUACUGUCUCAACGAGAGACCCGGUGAAAUUAUAGUACCUGUGAAGAUGCAGGUUACCCGCGACAGGACGGAAAGACCCCAUGGAGCUUUACUGCAGCUUGAUAUUGGAUGUGGGUAUCGUUUGUACAGGAUAGGCAGGAGCCUUGGAAGCCGGACCGCUAGGUUCGGUGGAGGCAUCGGUGGGAUACUGCCCUGACGAUAUCGACAUUCUAACCCUGAGCCGUGAUCCGGUUCGGAGACAGUGUCAGGCGGGCAGUUUGACUGGGGCGGUCGCCUCCUAAAAGGUAACGGAGGCGCCCAAAGGUUCCCUCAGAAUGGUUGGAAAUCAUUCGCAGAGUGUAAAGGCACAAGGGAGCUUGACUGCGAGACCUACAAGUCGAGCAGGGACGAAAGUCGGGCUUAGUGAUCCGGUGGCACCGCAUGGAAGGGCCAUCGCUCAACGGAUAAAAGCUACCCUGGGGAUAACAGGCUUAUCUCCCCCAAGAGUUCACAUCGACGGGGAGGUUUGGCACCUCGAUGUCGGCUCAUCGCAUCCUGGGGCUGAAGUAGGUCCCAAGGGUUGGGCUGUUCGCCCAUUAAAGCGGUACGCGAGCUGGGUUCAGAACGUCGUGAGACAGUUCGGUCCCUAUCCGUCGCGGGCGUAGGAAAUUUGAGAAGAGCUGUCCUUAGUACGAGAGGACCGGGAUGGACACACCGCUGGUGUACCAGUUGUUCCGCCAGGAGCAUACGCUGGGUAGCUAUGUGUGGACGGGAUAAGUGCUGAAAGCAUCUAAGCAUGAAGCCCCCUUCAAGAUGAGAUUUCCCAUGAUUUUAAAUCAGUAAGACCCCUUAGAGAUGAUGAGGUUGAUAGGUCUGGAGUGGAAGCACGGUGACGUGUGAAGCGGACAGAUACUAAUCGGUCGAGGACUUAACC
rnacentral:ncRNA from 1 species